UGUUCAUCCAAGUAAUCAAUAACAGCAACAUUGCCAUUGCCAAGCACAUCAAGCCCCCUAAAUUGUCCAGCUUCUUCUGUAAAUUUCCCAUCAUCGUCAACAGGGGAAACUAAAGGCAAACCGUAUUUCAAGCCGGUUACAUAAUCUUCUUGUCCAUGACCAGGUGCAGUAUGAACUAAUCCAGUUCCUGACUCUGUUGUAAUGUAAUCACCACCAACGACAACGGGGCAUUCCCGGCUAUCUAUAGGAUGGGUGUACCUGCAAUUUUCAAGAUCUGAACCCAGUACUGUUUUCUUCAAGGUAAGCUUCAAACCCCAUUUUGAUUCUAAUGUUGAUACAAGGUCCAGAGCUACAAUAAGAUGUAGGCUUUUAUCGCCCUUCAUGA
rnacentral:misc_RNA from 1 species